rnacentral:rRNA from 1 species
AUUGAACGCUGGCGGCAGGCCUCACACAUGCAAGUCGAGCGAGCGGCGGACGGGUGAGUAAUGUAUGGGGACUUCCCGAUAGAGGGGGAUAACUACUGGAAACGGUAGCUAAUACCGCAUACUAUCGGAUAACCCAUAUGGGAUAAGCUAGUAGGUGAGGUAAGGGCUCACAUGGUCGACGAUCCCUAGCUGGUCUGAGAGGAUGAUCAGCCACACUGGGAAUGAGACACGGCCCAGACUCCUACGGAGGCAGCAGUGGGGAAUAUUGCACAAUGGGAGCAAGCCUGAUGCAGCCAUGCAGCGUGUAUGAAGAAGGCCAUAGGGUUGUAAAGUACUUUCAGUCGGGAGGCGUUACCGACAGAAGAAGCGCCGGCUAACUCCGUGCCAGCAGCCGCGGUAAUUC